rnacentral:rRNA from 1 species
GAUGAACGCUAGCGGCAGGCCUAAUACACGCAAGUCGAACGAGAUUAAGGACUUCGGUCUUUAUGAAAGUGGCGCACAGGUGCGUAACACGUAUGCAACCUACCUUCAAUUGGGGGAUAGCCUUCCGAAAGGGAGAUUAAUACCGCAUAAAACAGCAGAAUGGCAUCAUUUAACUGUUAAAACUCCGGUGAUUGAAGAUGGGCAUGCGUUGCAUUAGCUAGUUGGUAAGGUAACGGCUUACCAAGGCUACGAUGCAUAGGGGUUCUGAGAGGAUGGUCCCCCACACUGGUACUGAGAUACGGACCAGACUCCUACGGGAGGCAGCAGUAAGGAAUAUUGGUCAAUGGACGCAAGUCUGAACCAGCCUUGCCGCGUGCAGGAUGACGGCCCUAUGGGUUGUAAACUGCUUUUGUCAGGGAAUAAAUCAUUUUACGUGUAGAUGUUGAAGGUACCUGAAGAAUAAGGAUCGGCUAACUCCGUGCCAGCCGCCGCUGUAA